rnacentral:rRNA from 1 species
CUAGUUGGCGGGGUCAAAGCCCACCAAGGCGACGAUCGAUAGCUGGUCUGAGAGGACGAUCAGCCACACUGGGAUUGAGAACGGCCCAGACUCCUACGGGGGGCAGCAGUGAGGAAUUUUCGUCAAUGGGGGCAACCCUGAACGAGCAACGCCGCGUGCAGGAAGAAGGUUUUCGGAUCGUAAACUGCUUUUCUCUGGGACGAGCAAGGACGGUACCAGAGGAAUCAGCCCCGGCUAACUACGUGCCAGCAGCCGCGGUAAUACGUAGGGGGCGAGCGUUGUCCGGAUUUAUUGGGCGUAAAGGGUCCGCAGGCGGUUUGGUAAGUUUGACGUGACAGUGCCCGGCUUAACUGGGCAAGUGCGUUGGAAACUGCCAGACUUGAGGGCUUCAGAGGGAUGCGGAAUUCCGGGUGGAGUGGUGAAAUGCGUAGAUAUCCGGAGGAACACCAAAGGCGAAGGCAGCAUCCUGGGAAGUCUCUGACGCUCAGGGACGAAAGCUAGGGGAGCGAACGGGAUUAGAUACCCCGGUAGUCCUAGCCGUAAACGAUGACCACUAGACGUAAGAGGUAUCGACCCCCCUUGUGUCGUAGUUAACACGAUAAGUGGUCCGCCUGGGGAGUACGGUCGCAAGAUUAAAACUCAAAGGAAUUGACG